rnacentral:rRNA from 1 species
GAUGAACGCUGGCGGCGCGCCUAACACAUGCAAGUCGAACGGCACCCACCCUCGGGUGGAAGCGAGUGGCGAACGGCUGAGUAACACGUGGAGAACCCGCCCCCUCCUCCGGGAUAGCCUCGGGAAACCGUGGGUAAUACCGGAUGACCCCGCAGGGCCGCAUGGCCCCGCGGGCAAAGCCCAGACGGGAGGGGAUGGCUCCGCGGCCCAUCAGGUAGACGGCGGGGUGACGGCCCACCGUGCCGACGACGGGUAGCCGGGUUGAGAGACCGACCGGCCAGAUUGGGACUGAGACACGGCCCAGACUCCUACGGGAGGCAGCAGUGGGGAAUCUUGCGCAAUGGGGGGAACCCUGACGCAGCGACGCCGCGUGCGGGACGAAGGCCCUCGGGUCGUAAACCGCUUUCAGCAGGGAUGAGACAAGACGGUACCUGCAGAAGAAGCCCCGGCUAA